UGCACUUCGGGAUAAGCCUGGGAAACUGGGUCUAAUACCGGAUAGGACGAUGGUUUGGAUGCCAUUGUGGAAAGUUUUUCGAUGUGGGAUGAGCUCGCGGCCUAUCAGCUUGUUGGUGGGGUAAUGGCCUACCAAGGCGUCGACGGGUAGCCGGCCUGAGAGGGUGUACGGCCACAUUGGGACUGAGAUACGGCCCAG
rnacentral:rRNA from 1 species